UACGUAGGGGGCAAGCGUUGUCCGGAUUUAUUGGGCGUAAAGAGCGUGUAGGCGGCCAGAUAGGUCCGUUGUGAAAACUCGAGGCUCAACCUCGAGACGCCGAUGGAAACCAUUUGGCUAGAGUCCGGAAGAGGAGAGUGGAAUUCCCGGUGUAGCGGUGAAAUGCGCAGAUAUCAGGAGGAACACCGGUGGCGAAGGCGGUUCUCUGGGCCUUACCUGACGCUGAGGAGCGAAAGCGUGGGGAGCGAACAGG
rnacentral:rRNA from 1 species